rnacentral:rRNA from 1 species
UACAGAGGUGGCAAGCGUUGUUCGGAAUUACUGGGCGUAAAGGGCGCGUAGGCGGCCAUCUAAGUCAGACGUGAAAUCCCCCGGCUUAACCUGGGAACUGCGUCUGAUACUGGAAGGCUUGAGUAUGGGAGAGGGAUGUAGAAUUCCAGGUGUAGCGGUGAAAUGCGUAGAUAUCUGGAGGAAUACCGGUGGCGAAGGCGGCAUCCUGGACCAUUACUGACGCUGAGGCGGCGAAAGCUAGGGGAGCAAACGGG